rnacentral:rRNA from 1 species
UUCCUUUAGAAUUUAUUUAAAGGUAUUACCUGCUCAGUGUUAUGGAUAAAUAGCUGCGGUAUCUUAACUGCACUUAGGUAGCAUAAUUAAUUGUCUUUUAAAUGGUGACUUGUUUGAAUGGUCUAAUGAGAAAAAAGUUUUCUUUUUAUUAAUGAGAAUUUAUAGUUUAAGGUAAAAAUACCUAAAUGAUGAAGAAAGACGAGAAGACCCUGUUGAGUUUAACAGUUAUUUAAAAUUGUUUUAAUGGGAAAUUUAGUCUCUUAUUGAGAUUUUUGGGAUCCUGGGUUUAAAAGCCUGGAAAAAGGAUAAAAUUACCACAGGGAUAACAGGACUAUAUUUGCUGAGAGUUCUUAUUGAAGUGAAUGUUUGUUACCUCGAUGUUGAAUCGAAAUACUCUUCUUGGUGCAGCAAUUGAGAAAGUAGGUCUGUUCGACCUUUAAAAUUUC